ACUGCAGCGCUGUGCCCCAGAAACAGGGUGGUGUAUGGCAGAAUGGAGGGAAGUGACUCGCGGCAAAGAACUCAGAAUCAGAGGAUGAGGGGGACAGAAGGGGAUGGCAAGAGCCUCUCAGAGCAACCGCGCAGUCCCAGAAGUUGAUACCACGAUCUCGAGCCUUUGUAGACAAGUGACCCUCAUCUUCAUGCAAUGCAUAUCUGAGAAAUGGCUGCACUCUACUACGGAGAUCUUCAACUACCUCACCACUGCUCAGCAGACCACUAAGAGUGGUGUGCAGCCGGGAGUGUCUCCCUCUGUCCCCCUUCCAUAACUACAGGGGUCCCUCUCAUAUCUGAGACAGUAUGUGCAGUGGAAACAAGCCUGAUGCUCAAACGUUGACCCUGCCUGUGGACUCUCACCAACCUACAACCUCACGUUAUUAUCUUAAGCUUUCCACAUAUGGAUCAAUUCAUCUAUAGAAUAUGGAAGAAACUUCAUCUCAUCAUCUCUUCGAAAGAUGCUUAUGAGACUCGGUUCCCGCCCACUCCGCGUUUGAAGGGGAAAUUUGGAAUUCAGAAAAAUGCCACAGCAAGAUAUGACUCUGCUAUGGUUCCCCAACUCAUGUACGCCAAACAGGAAUGGAAACACGAAACUGCAGGUGUCAACACCGAGUCUUUCCUUUCGUUUCUCUGUGUACAACAUACUGCUUUCGGUACUAGCUUUGUGUCCCCAGGUCCUACAUUAAUCUUCGGAUUAAAAAGUGUCCAGGAUAUUAUAA